rnacentral:rRNA from 1 species
AUUGAACGCUGGCGGCGUGCUUAACACAUGCAAGUCGAUCGGUAACAGGUGUAGCAAUACAUGCUGACGAGAGGCGGACGGGUGAGUAAUGCUUGGGAAUCUGCCUAUUAGUGGGGGACAACCCGGGGAAACUCGGGCUAAUACCGCAUACGCUCUACGGAGGAAAGCCGGGACCGCAAGGCCUGGCGCUAAUAGAUGAGCCCAAGUCGGAUUAGCUAGUUGG